UACGAAGGGUGCAAACGUUGCUCGGAAUUACUGGGCGUAAAGCGUGCGUAGACGGCUAUCUAAGUCGGGUGUGAAAGCCCCGGGCUCAACCUGGGAAUUGCAUUCGAGACUGAAUAGCUAGGGUACGGUAGAGGGAAGUGGAAUUUCCGGUGUAGCGGUGAAAUGCGUAGAUAUCGGAAGGAACAUCAGUGGCGAAAGCGACUUCCUGGACCAGUACCGACGUUCAGGCACGAAAGCGUGGGGAGCAAACAGG
rnacentral:rRNA from 1 species